rnacentral:lncRNA from 1 species
ACGUCUGAGGUCCCCAUCUGGCUGGAUUACCAUGGCAAGCACGUCACGAUGGACCAGGUGGGCACUUUUGCUGGCCUCCUCAUCGGCCUGGCCCAACUCAACUGCUCCGAGCUGAAGCUAAAGCGGCUCUGUUGCAGGCACGGGUGAGUCCCCAGCACCCCAGCCUCUCUCCAGGGUCCCUGAUCUUCCUUCUGUUCUGGUCCUGACUGGUUGUGUGGCCUUGGCCAAGUCAUCACCCUUCUCAGGGCCUCAGUUUCUCCUCUGUAAAAAGGACGCAGUUGGCUGGGCAUGAUGGCUCACACAUUCAGGCAUUCGAGACCAGCCUGACCAACAUGGUGAAACCCCCCCGUCUCUACUAAAAAUACAAAAAUUAGCCAGGCGUGGUGGCAUACACAUGUAAUCCCAGCUACUCAGGAGGCUGAGGCAGGAGAACUGCUUGAACCUGGGAGGCGGUUGCAGUGAGCCAAGAUCGCACCACUUCACUCCAGCCUGGGCAACGGAGCAAGACUCCAUCU